ACAAUAAAUCAAAGCCGAGACCAAAUUGUCUUGCCAAAGCGCCACCACAUCACUCAACUUAUAGUAAAGGAAUUUCACGAAACAAACCAUCACAUGCUUCACGAGGGAACAAUUAAUCUAAUCCGCAGCGUAUAUUUUAUUCCCCAGUUACGUGUUAUUUACAAAUCCGUACGGAAAGCGUGCCAAAGAUGCAAAAAUAAUUCGGCGAUCCCGGAACCACCUCAGAUGGCACCACUACCGCCAGCUAGAGUCGCGAGCUUCGAGAGGCCCUUUACAUACACUGGAGUGGAUUUCUUCGGUCCAAUUCUCGUUAACGUAGGCCGACACAAAGAAAAACGGUGGGGUGUUAUAUUUACAUGCCUCACUCUGCGCGCAGUUCAUAUAGAGAUAGCCCACAGCCUUGACACUAGCUCUUGCAUAAUGUGCCUGGCAAACUUUAUGUCGCGACGCGGGACGCCCAAGGAAAUAUUUUCUGAUAAUGGAACAAAUUUCAAAGCAACCGAAAAGAUUGUCAAAGAGGAGCUAAAAAAUGUUGAGUUCGACAAGCUCGUUAUAAAAUAUGACAAAAUUAAAUGGCGCUUCAAUCCACCUGCCGCACCACACAUGGGCGGGGCAUGGGAACGUUUAAUUCGAUCGAUUAAAAUGGUACUCAAAUCCAUUUCCCCAAACGCCAAUUACAACGACGAAAGUCUCAAAAAUGCUCUUAUAAGUGCAGAGUACGUAAUAAACUCCCGUCCACUGACCUUCGUUUCCUUGGAGGCAGAAGACGAUGAUGCACUUACUCCCAACCAUUUAUUGCUAGGAUCCGCAGACGGCUUCAAGCCUCCACUGACAAGCGAGUCAAGCCCAAGACAACGUUGGCGCCAGGCAAACGAACUAGCCGAUCUUUUCUGGAGGAGGUGGGUGAAGGAAUACAUGCCAAUAAUCACCAAGCGAUCCAAAUGGUUUCCCAAACGACAUCCUCUGGCAGUUGGCGACGUCGUAAUCGUAGUGGACGAAAAUCUACCCAGGAACCUUUGGCCCAAAGGACGAAUUACAGAGGUCGUCACAGCCAAAGAUGGUCAAGUUCGAUCUGCCACUAUUAAGACUCAACAUGGUAUUAUGGUACGGCCAGCAACCAAAAUAGCUGUACUGGACGUUGCUUCUAAGUAAAUGUAAACACCCCAUAGCUGUUUACGUGGGGGGGAAUGUUACCGCCCCAGUACAUUUUGAAACGUCGAUUAAUUUACAUAAAUUCAUCGGUUGGAUCCGACACCAAUCAACAUCUCGCCGACAAUCGAAAGACCAUACAGUUACAGUGCGAUCCUCAACAGGAGAGGAAGAUUUUUUAAAGCUCUUGAUUUAAUUUUGAUUUUGUAAUUUGAUUUAACUAAUAAAAGUCAUCGGAUUAUAAAGCAGUGCUGUUAGAAGCUUUCAUUAAGGGGUCGGCUGUAACAUACAUAUUUUUUUGUGCAAAAUAAAUGCUUAUAAAUAGCCUCCUGUGAGGCGAACAAAUUUGUAAUUACGCGCCAACGAAAAUGAAUGAAAACCAAAGGCAGGAAAAAAAAACUGAGUGUCGUGUAAAAAAUUCAUGUAGCUGACAAUUUUCAAGCAGUCUUCUAACCUGGAAACCAAUCAAAAUGAAGUUUCCCC